CAUGGCUCAGAUUGAACGCUGGCGGCAGGCCUAACACAUGCAAGUCGAGCGGUAACAGGAGAAAGCUUGCUUUCUUGCUGACGAGCGGCGGACGGGUGAGUAAUGUAUGGGGAUCUGCCCGAUAGAGGGGGAUAACUACUGGAAACGGUGGCUAAUACCGCAUAAUGUCUACGGACCAAAGCAGGGGCUCUUCGGACCUUGCACUAUCGGAUGAACCCAUAUGGGAUUAGCUAGUAGGUGGGGUAAAGGCUCACCUAGGCGACGAUCUCUAGCUGGUCUGAGAGGAUGAUCAGCCACACUGGGACUGAGACACGGCCCAGACUCCUACGGGAGGCAGCAGUGGGGAAUAUUGCACAAUGGGCGCAAGCCUGAUGCAGCCAUGCCGCGUGUAUGAAGAAGGCCUUAGGGUUGUAAAGUACUUUCAGCGGGGAGGAAGGUGAUAAGGUUAAUACCCUUAUCAAUUGACGUUACCCGCAGAAGAAGCACC
rnacentral:rRNA from 1 species